GUUCCAGUAGACAAAUUGGUAAAGUCACCACACUUUCAAUGUGGAGUUUUGAGGGUUCAAGUCCCUUCUGGAACG
rnacentral:tRNA from 2 species